CCUGCCCUGAGAGGUAUGGCAGGUGUGGCUGCUGUGUGACAUGUGCAUCAGGAGGUGGCAGAGACGAGAGGUUAUGUCUAUGCUCAGUGUUCUGACCUGUAAACAUCUGAAUAAUUAGUGGCCUAACACU